GCCCACUGUGGUUUCAGUCCCCUGGAGUGC
rnacentral:piRNA from 2 species